rnacentral:snRNA from 1 species
GUGCUACUUUGGCAGUACAUAUACUGAUUUUGGAACAAUACAGAGAAGAUUUGUGUGGCUUCUGCACAAGGAUGAUGCACGUUUGUGAAGUGUUCUAUGUUUUU